rnacentral:lncRNA from 1 species
CGUCAGCGACAACCCGGUCCGCCAGGAGACGCUAGCGGCAAAACCUCCGCCGGCAGGCCGGUACACUGCGUUAGCAAUGUUUGCCGGAUAGCUUCACCGCUAGCCUAACCUUCCUCCGCCAGAUCCAACCAGCAGCAAGGCCAGCACCUCUGCUGAUGUUGCACCACCAGCAGCCAAGGAUCCAUCAGCGGCAAUUCCACCGCCCAACUCCUCUGCUCACGGCAGCAACCGCUGACCCAGUCCGCCGGAAAUGUUCGCCACCAAGCUCCAGCUUCCGCCGAACUCCAUGUUCCGCCGGACCCCAGUUCUGCAGCUCUGGUCCUCUCUGUUCCGCCGAACCAGCUCUGCCUGACUCUUCUUCUCAACACCGCCUCCGCUCCGCCGGACUCCGUUGAGCAAUCCCUGCUGCAAGUUGCACCUCCAAGUGCACACCAGGCUCCGCCGAACUCCCCCGCUAGGAGUCACCGGCGGCACACCACCGCCCAACUCGCAGCUCUGCCAGCCGCAACUCCGAGGCUCUGCCCAACCUGCAGCUCCAGGGCUCCGCCUAGCUUCGCCGCUGGGAGUUCCCCCGCCCAACUUGCAUCCCCGCCGAACCGGUGAUCCGCCGAACUGUAGCCCUCCGCCAAGCAAAAUACCGCCAUAACCCAGGCCUCCGCUAAACAAGGUACUGUUCUUGGAUCAUUACUCAGCUAAACAGCUCCGCCACCGCCACGCUGUGGCACCAACAUCGGUGAACAGCUCUAGUGACACCAGCGGCAAACGCUAUCGCUGGACACCCAAUCCAAAUUUUGCUUGGAGACCCAUGGCAACUCUGAUCUUCUCUUCGAUCAUCUCCGAUCAGCGGUACAAUAUAUAUAUAUAUAUAUAUUCCGCUGAUUCACUUGGGAUACCCAGAAAACCUCUCUGGACACCAUCCACCUUCAGUCAUCAUCCUCCGCUCGGCAAGGCUAGCGCCGGUAUCAAUCACAGCUCACAGCCUUGAAUCUCCGCCAGGAGUCCCCACUGAGUCUCUGGGAGGGGCUCCGCUGUCCAUGAUAGCCAGGCAACACCGCUGGGUGACCUCCGCCGGAUGGGCUCCGAUGAGCAACUCCACAGCAGAACCAUCUCUGCCAAAACUCCGCUGGCCCAAAAUCUCCGCCAGACACAUCCGGCGGC